rnacentral:rRNA from 1 species
GACGAACGCUGGCGGCGUGCUUAACACAUGCAAGUCGAGCGCUGACGCCUCCUUCGGGGGGUGGAUGAGCGGCGAACGGGUGAGUAACACGUGGGUGACCUGCCCUCAGCUCUGGGAUAAGCCUGGGAAACUGGGUCUAAUACCGGAUAUGACCUUGCCCCGCCUGGGGUGGGGUGGAAAGUCCUGGGCGUGAUUGUCUGGGUUCGGCUGGGGAUGGGCCCGCGGCCUAUCAGCUUGUUGGUGGGGUAAUGGCCCACCAAGGCUUCUACGGGUAGCCGGCCUGAGAGGGCGACCGGCCACACUGGGACUGAGACACGGCCCAGACUCCUACGGGAGGCAGCAGUGGGAAUAUUGCGCAAUGGGCGAAAGCCUGACGCAGCAACGCCGCGUGAGGGAUGACUGCCUUCGGGUUGUAAACCUCUUUCAGCAGGGACGAAAACAGACGGUACCUGCAGAAGAAGCACCGGCCAACUACGUGCCAGCAGCCGCGGUAACACGUAGGGUGCGAGCGUUGUCCGGAAUUAUUGGGCGUAAAGGGCUCGUAGGCGGUCUGUUGCGUCGAAAGUGAAACCCCGAUGCUCAACAUCGGGCCUGCUUUCGAUACGGGCAGACUAGAGGUAGGCAGGGGGGACUGGAAUUCCUGGU